rnacentral:rRNA from 1 species
GACGGAGGUGGCAAACGUUGCUCGGAAUUACUGGGCUUAAAGGGCGUGUAGGCGGUCAACUAAGUCGGUUGUGAAAAACCUCGGCUCAACCGAGGAACUGCAGUCGAUACUGGUUGGCUUGAGUGCGAGAGGGGCAAGUGGAACUCCAGGUGUAGCGGUGAAAUGCGUAGAUAUCUGGAGGAACGCCGGUGGCGAAAGCGACUUGCUGGCUCGUAACUGACGCUGAGGCGCGAAAGCCAGGGGAGCAAAC